rnacentral:rRNA from 1 species
AAGUCGAACGAGACCUUCGGGUCUAGUGGCGCACGGGUGCGUAACGCGUGGGAAUCUACCCUUGGGUUCGGAAUAACUCUCCGAAAGGAGUGCUAAUACCGGAUGAUGACGUAAGUCCAAAGAUUUAUCGCCCAAGGAUGAGCCCGCGUAGGAUUAGCUAGUUGGUGAGGUAAAGGCUCACCAAGGCGACGAUCCUUAGCUGGUCUGAGAGGAUGAUCAGCCACACUGGGACUGAGACACGGCCCAGACUCCUACGGGAGGCAGCAGUGGGGAAUAUUGGACAAUGGGCGAAAGCCUGAUCCAGCAAUGCCGCGUGAGUGAUGAAGGCCUUAGGGUUGUAAAGCUCUUUUACCCGGGAUGAUAAUGACAGUACCGGGAGAAUAAGCUCCGGCUAACUCCGUGCCAGCAGCCGCGGUAAUACGGAGGGAGCUAGCGUUGUUCGGAAUUACUGGGCGUAAAGCGCACGUAGGCGGCUUUGUAAGUUAGAGGUGAAAGCCUGGAGCUCAACUCCAGAACUGCCUUUAAGACUGCAUCGCUCGAAUCCUGGAGAGGUGAGUGGAAUUCCGAGUGUAGAGGUGAAAUUCGUAGAUAUUCGGAAGAACACCAGUGGCGAAGGCGGCUCACUGGACAGGUAUUGACGCUGAGGUGCGAAAGCGUG